CUCGUAGGUGGCCAACUAAGUCAGACGUGAAAUCCCCAGGCUUAACCUGGGAACUGCGUCUGAUACUGGAUGGCUUGAAUUCGGGAGAGGGAUGCAGAAUUCCAGGUGUAGCGGUGAAAUGCGUAGAUAUCUGGAGGAAUACCGGUGGCGAAGGCGGCAUCCUGGACCGAGAUUGACACUGAUGAGCGAAAGCCCAAGGGGGAGCAAACGG
rnacentral:rRNA from 1 species